CUCUCACGUCUGUUAAAUAGCCACAUUCUGAGUGAUCCACCUCUUGUUCAGCCAUGACUCCUCCACACACACAAUGCUGGGGAUACAUGGUAGGCACGCAAUCAAUGUUGUUGGAUCAAUUUGGAGCUUCGAGGAGCGAGGAAGCCCAGAUAUGAAAAGGAAAUGAUCAGAUUCCGACUUCUCUUUUCCCCUUUUCUAGUUAAAAAAAAAAAAAAGUACAUGGAGAAAGGUACAUCAAAUGCAUAUGUACUGUUUCACAAGUAACUGUAAAAAGUGAACGCCCUCAAAACCACCACCUAGUAGUUGUCAACCUCUUUGUUCUGAUCAAAACGGGUUACUUUCAUUCCCUAUAGUCCUGGCACAGUGACCUAUCACUUGGUAAUUGAAAUGAAAGUAAAACUUAAAGAUAUUUUCAUGUAAAUCUAGUAAAACAACACCAAUACUUAUCAGUGCAUGAAAUUCAGAUUGCUCCACCAAGAAUCUGGCAUUUCAACAGAGAACUAUUUUUUCCUCUACUCUGAUUUCUUUGCAGUUGCAAUUCUCUUUUGAGAGAAAUUGCACCCAUCCCCGUAACAAUGCUGAGAAGAUAACUUCAGAAAUUUUUAAAUAGAAAGAGAAAGAAAGAAAGAAAGAAAGAAAGAAAGGAAGGAAGGAAGGAAGGAAGGAAGGAAGGAAGGAAGAAAGAAAGAAAGAAAGAAAGAAAGAAAGAAAGAAAGAAAGAAAGAAGAAAGAAAAUGGGUCUUCUUCCUCUGGAGCACGCCACUACUCCUGCUAGUCAGUCCCUUCGCUCCCUUCCUGACCUGAAACUGUACCUGGCAAGUGAUUCAGUUUUUACUUCGAAACCAGCCCACUUUUCAAAUGGGAUUUCCAAAAAGAAGAUAUUUUGA
ensembl:lncRNA